GCGCCUAUAGCUCAGUUGGUAGAGCAGCUGCCUUUUAAGCAGAAGGUCGCAGGUUCAAAUCCUGCUGGGCGCACCA
rnacentral:tRNA from 5 species